rnacentral:lncRNA from 1 species
UGUAGGAAAAAAAUAUAGUUUUCCAUCACAGUUAUUUGGUUGAAAGGGAAAGAUAAAUAAAAAACUAUUAUAUAAAUAAAUAAAUAUAUAUAUAUAUAUAUUAUACUACAAAUAUUAUUAAUUAUAAUUAAAUAUAAUAUAUUUAAAAUAUAUUAUAAAAUAAGAAUGUAAUAGAGAGAGAGAGAGAGAGAGAGCAGGUCUUGUAUGCUAUUAGGAGCACGGAAGCCUCCGUGCUGCUAAGUCGUUUUCGACAAUAGAGCUUCCGAAUUGAUGAUCAGAUCCGUUAGAUUUGAUCUAGCAUAUUUGACGUGUCUAGAAAAUAAAUUUUAUAAUUUUGCGAUAUCAUUUACGUAGUGAUUGAGAGGGUUCAAAAUCAACGGCUAAAAAUAAAAAUCUCACAAAAAGUGGUGAUAUAAUACUAAAAUUUUCUAUCAAAAUUUUAUCUGAUUUAAAUACUUCUAAACCGUUAAACUUGCAAACGAUAUACAUCAACCAUUAAAAAUUAUUGAUUUUGAACACUUUCGAUCGCUAAGUAAAUGAUAUCGAAAAAUCACAAAAUUUAUUUUUCAUACACUUCAAAUAUGCUAGAUCAAGUUUAACAGAACCGAUCAUCGAUUCGGAAGCUCCAUUGUCGAAAAU